rnacentral:rRNA from 1 species
CCUACGGGUGGCAGCAGUGAGGAAUAUUGGUCAAUGGACGGAAGUCUGAACCAGCCAUGCCGCGUGCAGGAAGACGGCUCUAUGAGUUGUAAACUGCUUUUGUACAAGGGUAAAGCUGAAUACGUGUAUGCAGCUGAAAGUACUGUACGAAUAAGGAUCGGCUAACUCCGUGCCAGCAGCCGCGGUAAUACGGAGGAUCCAAGCGUUAUCCGGAUUUAUUGGGGUUAAAGGGUGCGUAGGCGGAUUGCUAAGUUAGAGGUGAAAGGUCCGGGCUUAACUCGGGAACGGCCUCUAAUACUGUUGGUCUAGCGCGUAGGUGCGGUAGGCGGAAUGUAUGGUGUAGCGGU